rnacentral:rRNA from 1 species
CUGGAGGUAUCAGAAGUGCGAAUGCUGACAUAAGUAACGAUAAAGCGGGUGAAAAGCCCGCUCGCCGGAAGACCAAGGGUUCCUGUCCAACGUUAAUCGGGGCAGGGUGAGUCGACCCCUAAGGCGAGGCCGAAAGGCGUAGUCGAUGGGAAACAGGUUAAUAUUCCUGUACUUGGUGUUACUGCGAAGGGGGGACGGAGAAGGCUAUGUUGGCCGGGCGACGGUUGUCCCGGUUUAAGCGUGUAGGCUGGUUUUCCAGGCAAAUCCGGAAAAUCAAGGCUGAGGCGUGAUGACGAGGCACUACGGUGCUGAAGCAACAAAUGCCCUGCUUCCAGGAAAAGCCUCUAAGCAUCAGGUAACAUCAAAUCGUACCCCAAACCGACACAGGUGGUCAGGUAGAGAAUACCAAGGCGCUUGAGAGAACUCGGGUGAAGGAACUAGGCAAAAUGGUGCCGUAACUUCGGGAGAAGGCACGCUGAUAUGUAGGUGAAGCGACUUGCUCGUGGAGCUGAAAUCAGUCGAAGAUACCAGCUGGCUGCAACUGUUUAUUAAAAACACAGCACUGUGCAAACACGAAAGUGGACGUAUACGGUGUGACGCCUGCCCGGUGCCGGAAGGUUAAUUGAUGGGGUCAGCGC